UACGGGGGGGGGUAAGCGUUGUUCGGAAUUACUGGGCGUAAAGGCUCGUAGGCGGCCAACUAAGUCAGACGUGAAAUCCCUCAGCUUAACUGGGGAACUGCGUCUGAUACUGGAUGGCUUGGAUUUGGGAGAGGAAUGCGGAAUUCCAGGUGUAGCGGUGAAAUGCGUAGAUAUCUGGAGGAACACCGGUGGCGAAGGCGGCAUUCUGGACCAAUAUUGACGCUGAGGAGCGAAAGCCAGGGGAGCAAACGGG
rnacentral:rRNA from 1 species